GUACACACCGCCCGUCACACCACGAAAGCCGGUGGAACCAGAAGUCGGUAACCCAACCCGCAAGGGAGGGAGCCGCCCAAGGUUUGGCCGGUGAUUGGGGUGAAGUCGUAACAAGGUAGCCGUAGGUGAACCUGCAGAAGGAUCA
rnacentral:rRNA from 1 species